UUUCUUUUUCUUCUCACAACUUUUCUAGAGCUCAUAAGAGUAAAUAGUAAUACAAUAUCAUCCCUUCUUUUUCACAACCCACUAUGAAUAUUCACCACACAAAGAUCCCCAUAUACUACAUCACCCCCUAUCAUCCAGCUAAAGAAUAAAAGCUAAAUAGGCUCAAAGUGGAUAACAAAGGAUAAUUUUUCGUUAAGGACAGUGUUUGGGAAAAAAAAUGUGGCUAACAAAAGAUGGCCUAAAAUCA
rnacentral:lncRNA from 1 species